rnacentral:rRNA from 1 species
CAAACUCCGAAUGCCGUCAUCUUAUACUUGGGAGUCAGACUGUGGGUGAUAAGAUUCAUAGUCGAAAGGGCAACAGCCCAGAUCGUCAGCUACGGUCCCUAAAUGUAAGUUAAGGGGUAAAGGAUGUGGGAUUGCACAGACAACCAGGAUGUUGGCUUAGAAGCAGCCACUCAUUCAAAGAGUGCGUAAUAGCUCACUGGUCGAGUGAUCCUGCGCCGAA